UACAGAUUCUGCAUGAGGUUGGUGGAGGAACAAUGUAUAUCUUACAUUGCCUCUCUGCCUUCCGAAUCCUGCAGAGAACUUCCAUGUACCAGAGAUUAAGAAUAUGUGCCAUGGAGCAGGGCUGACCCCUUACUUUUGCACAGGAACAGAGAGAUCUUGUGCACAGAAAAGACCUUCCAUAUGGCAAUUUGUGGGGGACGGAGAAGAAUAGCAACAAUCUGGCUCUAGAAUUUUAAGACAAAGCUGUUCUUAAUUAUCAUUGUAACCAUUAUGAUUUAUCUGCAUUUGCAAAGCAUCACACAUCAUAAAAGGAGCUGGGUACAAUUUUUUAAAACAGUAGCACACUGCCAGAAAAUGACAAAAAAAAGGACAAUCUUCAUAUAUCCUGGACCACCACCAUAAUUUAAAGGAACUCAGAAACGCUAUUUCCCCAUGAAUACAUCCUUGGUCCUAAUGAUAUUUCUGUAAACGUUUUAAGUAAAACAUGUUUUCCAUUCCAAAUGUGUUCUGUAAUUUGAUGCCUUCAAAGAAAGGAUGUAUGAGUCAUCUUAAUGAAACAUGCAAUUGAGGCGAGUCACUGUGUAGCCAACUAAAAUAUCUAAGUAAUAUUAACAGUGUUAUGUUACUUAUGUAGUUGCCCAAGGUUUUAAGAACCAAAUCUGUUCUUUUUACUACAGUAAGAAUUACUGUUGUGUUUUUUUUAUGUGGAAAGUGAGGCUAACAUAACUACAGAAUUAAGAUCAAAAUUUAGUUUGAAAGACAAGUUACUGCAGAGGUAUUCUCAUUAGAAAACCAGUGAGACAUUAGGCAUUGACCUGUGACCCACCAUAUCCAAUAUUAUUUUUGUUUCUUGUUCAGUACUUGAUGCUUUAAUAUCUGUUUCCUGGCUUAAUUCGAGCAUGGGCUGUCAGAUUGGAUGGAGAAUUCAGUGUGUUUUUGGGUGGUUAGGAUUAGUAAAAUUUCAGAUUUUGCCUGGAAUGCUCCAUUAUUUCUAACUAUUCCCCUUUUUCUGUUAUGAGAGUGAAAUUUACUUCUUCCUGUACCAGACAGAAUAAAUGGGGUGAUGUGCUGAAGGUUGGAGAGGAUGAAAUUCACACUUCAAAACCUAUGGGCAAGCUGAAUCUCAUGCUGCAUCUAUGACUGCCAAGCACUGGACACCAUUGUGAGGCACUGGACUAGCGGCUGACUGCUUCCUGACUAAGUGUAAUAAGUACUCAAGAAUGACCUGCAGCAACAACUGCUUGGGCGAGACUCCACAUUGGGAAGCCCAGAUGGAGCACCGCUUCCAUUCUGAGAGAUCUACCUGGGGAGCCCUCCACUGCUGGAAAACGACCCUAAUGAUGUCCGGACGAAGGGACCACUCAUGGUGACUGCAGAAAGACCUAAUGAGGAGAUCUGCCAGUUCGUUCUGUGCUCCAUGCAGGUGGAAAGCCUCGAGGUCUUGACAGGCCAGUGGGGUGGAGUGCCCGGAGGACUGCUGAGAUCUGUAGUGCUUCCUUAAAGUCACUGAAGUAUACAGUCCCAGGGACUUAAAGGUCGCCCAGGAGUCCUUCAGUCCACGAAGUUUCAUGUCAGUCUGCUCCAAAAAGAGCAAAGUUCCCUCACACAGGGAAGAUCCUGGAGAGUUUGCUGGACCUCCUGCAGGAGGCCAGAGGACUGUAGCCAUGAACUCCUACACGUGGCUGCUGCGGAAGCCAUGGACCUCGCUGCCGAAUCCGCUGCAUUCAGGGCAGCUUGCAAAGAAAGCUCUGGCUAUGGAUUUCCCCUCAUCCACCAGCAAGAAAAACUCCAGCCUGGCUUCUUGAGGCAGCAAGUUUUUGAACUUCAACAUGGAGUCCCAUAUGUUGAAGUCAUAUUUGCUCAGCAACACCCGCUGGUUAGCGAUCCUGAGCUGCAAACCCCUGGUAGAGUAGACCUUUCUACCAAAUAAAUCCAAGUUUUUGAUUCCUUUGCUUUUGGUGUUGCACCUUGCAGACCCUUCCUUUCCCCUUUGUUGGCAACGGAGAACACCAGGGAUCCUGGGGGGGAAGGGGAGAGAGGGAGAGAAGAAGGGGUGAGUGUUCCUGCCUAGGGUUAUGAGUUCUCGUACAAAGUAUUUCCUCUUAGCUCUCUUUGAUGUGAGGGGAAGGGAAGUGGCAGGGUUGCCACAAGGCUUUCACAGGGUCCGUGAUUGCCACAUUGAGAGGCAGGCUACUUUUGAUGGGACUGCCGUGGCCACAAUGUCAGCCAGACUAUGGGAGGACUCUUUUACUACCUCCACCUGUAUGUCCAAAUUUUGGGCCACCCUCUUUAGCAAUUCCUGAUGGGCCUUAUAGUCAUCUAGGGGAGGCAACACGCCUGCUCCUGAUACAGCAUCAUCAGGAGAGGAGGAGGCCAGCACCAGCUGAGGGUGGUACUCUUCUUUCUGUGCCAGCUGGGUCCUGCAGAGCCAGUUCCUGGAACUCGGCUCAGGGCAUGGCACCAUGGUCCGGAGCAGGUGAUACCCAAUGGGGCAGCAGGGCCCUUCUCUCAGAGGCCACCAAAUAGGAGCACCUCGAAUGGGCCCCGGGAUUGAGGAGAAAAGGGCCAUUGCACUGGCAUAGGCCCCCAGUGACCACUAAGCCAACGCUUGAGGGCACUCCUGUUCCCAGAUGCAGGUUAGGGAUGACUGGAGAAAUGGUGGGGUCGACUCCUUGAACAAGACCCAACCCAGAGGCAGUUAUGGUUUUGUGGGGCCUUAGACCAGAGCAAGGGGGACCCCUCCCCCCCAUAUGCUUGCAUUCCCCCCAUCUCCUCCCCCAAGUCACAUAUGUUUCCUGCUGGGGAAAUGGAGUUGGGGUGCAAAGGCUUGCCCUGCUCCACCCGCGCACCUGGUGCUCCUGCAGGGGAGCGGGGUCAAGGUGCGGGGGUUUGGCCCACUCUCCCACUCAGCGCUCCUGCCGGAGAGCGGGGUUGGGGCGUGGGGGUUUGCCCCCCUGUUCACAAGGAGCCCUGAGCACACCCUACCCCAUCAACCAGAGGAGCACGGGCCAAACUGCCAUGGGCCCCUGGCUGGCACCAGGGCGCUGGCCAGCCUCAAUGCCAGAAGUGACCAGUAGUUAUUGCAUAUUGGGUCAUAAUAAUUUUCUGUAUGACUGUAUUGAUCUAACUUAUACUGGGGGCUGUGAGAAGAACAAACCAGGAAACAAUUCAAUAGCUUCCCAGCUACUGCUCCAGCGCAUAGUAGAAAUACAAUGGGUAAAGCUAUCAGCUUCAAGGACCUUACUCCUGCCUCCAAGGAAGACGCAGGCUUGAUUUGCCUGGCUGGCAACUUGGAGAGGUAAAGGAUAUUAAACAGUUAAAAACCCUCUGAAAAAAGGAGAGGGGUUGCUAUUUGUCAGAAGCUGUCUAGGAAGACAGGCUGACAGAGAGAGAGAGAGACUCUGCAGAGGACAUCUAAAGACGUUGGGUCUUUCCAGAUGCAGGGAAUGCUAAGCCUUAGAGAAAAGUGAGAUAUGUAUACUGUUUUAUUGUUUUUAAGAUGUGCUUUCUCUGAAAUGCUUUUGUUCUAAAUAAAUAAUGCUUGUUUUAAGGAAGCCGUCUGGUCACUAUUACCACAGCCAUUGCUCCUGGAGGGAACAGAACUGCAGGGUCUGAGCCUAA